GGACUACCGGGGUUUCUAAUCCUGUUUGCUCCCCACGCUUUCGUGUUUCAACGUCAGAAAUGGACCAAGAAGCUGCCUUCGCCAUUGGUGUUCCUCUCGAGAUCUACGCAUUUUACCGCUACUCCGAGAAUUCCGCUUCUCUCUUCCACCCUCGAGCUCACCAGUUUCUACUGCUGGCCCCCGGUUAGGCCGGGGAAUUUAACAGUUGACUUAAUAAGCCGUCUACACACCCUUUACGCCCAAUGAUUCCGAAUAACGCUUGCACCACUCGUAUUACCGCGGCGGCUGGCAC
rnacentral:rRNA from 1 species